GUUAGGAAUCUUCCACAAUGGGGGCAACCCUGAUGGAGCAACACCGCGUGCUGGAUGAAGGCCUUCGGGUCGUAAACAGCUUUUGUAUACGAAGAAUAUGACGGUAAUAUACGAAUAAGGGUCGGCUAACUACGUGCCAGCAGCCGCGGUCAUACGUAGGACCCAAGCGUUAUCCGGAGUGACUGGGCGUAAAGAGUUGCGUAGGCGGCUUAUUAAGCGAGUAGUGAAAUCUGGUGGCUCAACCAUCAACACAUUGCUCGAACUGAUAGGCUUGAGAAUGGUAGAGGUAGUUGGAAUUUCUUGUGUAGGAGUGAAAUCCGUAGAUAUAAGAAGGAACACCAAUGGCGUAGGCAGGUUACUGGACCAUUUCUGACACUGAGGCACGAAAGCGUGGGGAGCGAACGGGAUUAGAAACCCCGGUAGUCC
rnacentral:rRNA from 1 species